rnacentral:rRNA from 1 species
UGGCUCAGGACGAACGCUGGCGGCGUGCCUAAUACAUGCAAGUAGAACGCUGAAGGAGGAGCUUACUCUUCUGGAUGAGUUGCGAACGGGUGAGUAACGCGUAGGUAACCUGCCUGGUAGCGGGGGAUGACUAUUGGAAACGAUAGCUAAUACCGCAUAAGAGUAGAUGUUGCAUGACAUUUGCUUAAAAGGUGCAAUUGCAUCACUACCAGAUGGACCUGCGUUGUAUUAGCUAGUUGGUGGGGUAACGGCUCACCAAGGCGACGAUACAUAGCCGACCUGAGAGGGUGAUCGGCCACACUGGGACUGAGACACGGCCCAGACUCCUACGGGAGGCAGCAGUAGGGAAUCUUCGGCAAUGGACGGAAGUCUGACCGAGCAACGCCGCGUGAGUGAAGAAGGUUUUCGGAUCGUAAAGCUCUGUUGUAAGAGAAGAACGAGUGUGAGAGUGGAAAGUUCACACUGUGACGGUAUCUUACCAGAAAGGGACGGCUAACUACGUGCCAGCAGCCGCGGUAAUACGUAGGUCCCGAGCGUUGUCCGGAUUUAUUGGGCGUAAAGCGAGCGCAGGCGGUUAGAUAAGUCUGAAGUUAAAGGCUGUGGCUUAACCAUAGUACGCUUUGGAAACUGUUUAACUUGAGUGCAAGAGGGGAGAGUGGAAUUCCAUGUGUAGCGGUGAAAUGCGUAGAUAUAUGGGAGGAACACCGGUGGCGAAAGCGGCUCUCUGGCUUGUAACUGACGCUGAGGCUCGAAAGCGUGGGGAGCAAACAGGAUUAGAUACCCU